rnacentral:rRNA from 1 species
CUACGUGCCAGCAGCCGCGGUAAUACGUAGGGUGCGAGCGUUAAUCGGAAUUACUGGGCGUAAAGCGAGCGCAGACGGUUACUUAAGCAGGAUGUGAAAUCCCCGGGCUCAACCUGGGAACUGCGUUCUGAACUGGGUGACUAGAGUGUGUCAGAGGGAGGUAGAAUUCCACGUGUAGCAGUGAAAUGCGUAGAGAUGUGGAGGAAUACCGAUGGCGAAGGCAGCCUCCUGGGAUAACACUGACGUUCAUGCUCGAAAGCGUGGGUAGCAAACAGGAUUAGAUACCCUGGUAGUCCACGCCCUAAACGAUGUCAAUUAGCUGUUGGGCAACUUGAUUGCUUAGUAGCGUAGCUAACGCGUGAAAUUGACCGCCUGGGGAGUACGGUCGCAAGAUUAAAACUCAAAGGAAUUGACGGGGACCCGCACAAGCGGUGGAUGAUGUGGAUUAAUUCGAAGCAACGCGAAGAACCUUACCAGGUCUUGACAUCCCUCUGACCGCUCUAGAGAUAGAGUUUUC